rnacentral:rRNA from 1 species
CCUACGGGAGGCAGCAGUGAGGAAUAUUGGUCAAUGGGCGCGAGCCUGAACCAGCCAAGUCGCGUGAGGGAAGACGGUCCUAUGGAUUGUAAACUUCUUUUGUCGGGGAGCAAAAGACGCCACGCGUGGCGUUCCGAGAGUACUCGAAGAACAAGCAUCGGCUAACUCCGUGCCAGCAGCCGCGGUAAUACGGAGGAUGCGAGCGUUAUCCGGAUUUAUUGGGUUUAAAGGGUGCGCAGGCGGAAGAUCAAGUCAGCGGUAAAAUUGAGAGGCUCAACCUCUUCGAGCCGUUGAAACUGGUUGUCUUGAGUGAGCGAGAAGUAUGCGGAAUGCGUGGUGUAGCGGUGAAAUGCAUAGAUAUCACGCAGAACUCCGAUUGCGAAGGCAGCAUACCGGCGCUCAACUGACGCUCAUGCACGAAAGUGUGGGUAUCGAACAGGAUUAGAUACCCCUGUAGUC